CCUACGGGAGGCAGCAGUGGGGGAUAUUGCACAAUGGGGGAAACCCUGAUGCAGCGACGCCGCGUGGGUGAAGAAGCGCCUCGGCGCGUAAAGCCCUGUCAGCAGGGAAGAAAAUGACGGUACCUGACGAAGAAGCCCCGGCUAACUACGUGCCAGCAGCCGCGGUAAUACGUAGGGGGCAAGCGUUAUCCGGAUUUACUGGGUGUAAAGGGGGCGCAGGCGGGGAAGCAAGCCAGGAGUGAAAGCCCGGGGCUCAACCCCGGGACUGCUGUUGAAACUGCUUAGCUAGAGUGAAGGAGAGGCAGGCGGAAUUCCUGGUGUAGCGGUGAAAUGCGUAGAUAUCAGGAGGAACACCGGUGGCGAAGGCGGCCUGCUGGACUGCAACUGACGCUGAGGCCCGAAAGCGUGGGGAGCAAACAGGAUUAGAUACCCCAGUAGUC
rnacentral:rRNA from 1 species